rnacentral:sRNA from 1 species
AGGGAAAGUCGUGUGUGAUCAGCAACAGUAUGAGCAAGGCUAUUCCAGCAAUGAAUCUGUACAGCGGGUGUAAGUUUUCCCAAGCAGCCGACAUUUUACGAGUGCCGGGCUUUUAAGCCACAAAACCGUAUGGUGUCGGCUGCAAAGCACCCUUAAAGUGUCAGAUUUAAGAUUUUGUAUUAAAAGCAGCCGACAUUUAGCGGUUUAACAAUUUGUACCGGAAAAAUCUCAGCUAAGGGGUUUUUUAAACUUUUCUCUUACAACGAAAUAAUUUGAACUUACUCCUAGACUUUUAAAGAAAACGUCACAAAUGUUUUUUGAAAUGUUAAUUACAAAAAAGUAGUAAUAAAAAUUUCAAAAAACUUAUUUGCUUUUGACCGAAAAUUUUCAGUCAAAGAUUUUGUUCGAAAAAAAUUUCUGAAAUUUUAGCAAAUAAUUACUAUUGGUUUUAUUGAUAAUUUUUACAUUUUGAAAUACAAUUUCAAAGGAGUAAAAAAUAAUUCUGUGUGUAAGUUCUCAAUUCGGAACGUUUUCAAAAAUGUUAACUUUUCCGAACAAUUUUUUAAAAUUGAUUUUUUUAGUUGGGCAAAUAGCAAAAAUAAUACAGCACUGAUUUCACCAAAAAUACGUUGAGAUUGUUUUCGAAAAUGAUAAAAUAAGCAACUAAAUCACUUUUCUAAAAAUCCAGAAAAAAUGUUGAAAAAAAAGUUUUUGGCAGAAAAUUUUCGCUUUAUUUCUCUUCUUCUAAAUUUCUUCUAAAUUCUAAAUGUUCUCUAUUUCUAAAUUUUUUUUUCGAAAAAUAAAUUGUCUUUAAAACAACCAAAAUUAUUCCUUACAAUUAAUAGACCUACUGUUUUUGUUAAAAAUUUAAAAAUUUUUUGAAAAUUUUUUUGAAUUUUGAAAAAAAAAGUAAAAUUUUCAGUCAACAGCUGCACCGACCUAAUGGCCCUAAUCGACAAAUUGAUGAAGCCAUUCAUGAAUCAAUGCAAGCAAGUGAUCAACAAAUGCCUCAAGGUCCUGAACAACUGCAAGGCUAACAACAAACAAACUGGAGUCAAGAAACAGAACGCCUGUAUGAACAAAGUAUGGGGACAGGGUAUUGCUAUGGUUACCAAACAAUUCGUCAAUAAGGUGUGCACGGCUCUUUCCAAAAAGAUGACUGCAAAGGAAUGGAAUUGCUGCAAGACGUAUGCUGUGAAGGUUGUCGAUGUCAAGCCAUACAAGUGCUACCUUAUCGAGAAAUAAGAAGGAACUUUUGAUCAUUUGAUAAUGCCUCGAAAUUGACCUUCCCGUUUUAGUGAAUAAAUGUUUGAGAGCCUUUUUUACUCGUUUGAAUAACCAGUAUUUUUCCGGCAAAAAAAGCAAGGGUUCACUUCAGGGGUGUGCGGCAAGUUUGCCGAAUUCGCCGUUUGUUAAAUUUGCCGAGUUCGCAAAAUUUCGAAAUUUGCAGCACACAUCAAAAAUUUGUCAAUAGAAUUUUGACCAAAACUAUUGAUUUUGUCCCUAAAAUUGAGUUUCUGUAUCCGAUUCAUUUUUACAGGCAUAUGACUGCACUUUUUUGCAAAAAAACAAUUUUGGAAUUUUGCCAUAAUUGAUAUGGCCCUGAAUAGAUAAUUUUUUUCUAAGAUUAUUGGUAGGUUUCUGGACCUAGAUAUUGAAUUUAAGACGCGAUACAGGGGUUUUUUAUCCGAUUCAUUUUUUUACAGGACUGCACUUUUUUGCAAAAAAAAAUUUGGAAUUUUGCCAUAAUUAAUAUUGCCCUGAAUGGAUAUUUUUAUUUUAAUAUUAUUGGUAGGUUUCUGGACCUAGAUAUUGAAUUUAAGACGUGCUUUUGGGGGAAUUGAUAUGGUAAAAAAGUUGGUUUUUUUUUAAAUAUUACUGGUAAAUUUCGGGACCUGGAAAUUAAAUUUAAGCCGCGCUACAGGGGAUUUUGUCUCGAAGUUCAAAUUCAACAGGUAUACAAACACAAUAUACAGGCACAAAAAAACAAAAAUAAAAAUUUUGGAAUUUUGAGGGAAUUGAUAUGGUAUAAAAUUUCUAAUUUUUUUUUAGUAUUAUGGGUACGUUUCUGGGUAUAGAAAUUCGAUUUCGGCCGCGCUACAGAGGUUUUUGUCUUGAAUUCCAAUUUCAACAGGUAUAUAGGCACAAAAAAACAAAAAUAAAAAUUUUGGAAUUUUGGGGGAAUUGAACUCAGUGAAUCUUGAACUCAGUGAAACUGGGUGAAUCUUUGUGAGCUUCUGCUUCAUCUCCGCUGAUUCCUCGAAGCGUCUGGCAACCAGAAUGUUGAACGGGCUGAUGCAAAUCGAUGCAACUAGAAGCCAUAAUGAGUAGCCAUACUGGAAAACAUAAACUAUGUAUAACACUAUAACACUAUAAUACUAUAACACUAUAAACUUUGGCCUAAACUAUUUCAGGAACCUACCCCAACAAACUCAUGCUCCUCAUCCCACUUUGCCGACAGGGUGAGCAAGUUUAAACCAGCAAUCAUGAGAAGUGUGCUAGCUAGCAACAUAUAUUUAAUGAAUUUCAGCAAAUAACUGAACCUCCGAAAAUAUUGAUAAUUGUGCGACUCGUGAAUCAGAAAGAUAUACGCCACGACAACUAGAUUUUGACAAAUGUUUUAAUAUUAAAUUCUAAAAAAGACAAAAAUAGAAAAAUAAAAAUUUUUAGUUGAAACCUUUGAUCCAACAGCAAACACUUCCAAUCCAAAAAUCCAAAUAAACUUGCUAAAUCUUUUGUUUUUGGUUUUGGGUUUUGAAAAGUUGUUUUGGUAAUAACAACGGGCUAGUAUAAAACAAAGUAAUGUUUUUCGACAGAAUACAUUCCGAUUACUUUUAAAUAUAUUUUUCAGUCUUGAACUUGAUCUCAUGUUGGCUGAAGUUUAAAAUCAAUAAGAAUUUGGUAAGAUUUCCGUAAACUAGAUAAAUUUCAAAUAUUUUUUUUAUUCAAACGCAGCUGACAUUUUACGGGUCGUAACAAACCCGUAAUCUGUCGGUUGCUUUAUCAACUUUUGGGCGCAAUUUUCACGCUUUAUUGUUUUUAUAAACCAUGGCUUAAAAAUUGAUCUGUUUUCCUUUAGAAAAGGUCUAUUUUUAUGCAGUUUAUUUUUUCAAAAAAAUGUUUUUUUUUCAAAUGUUCUAAAAACUUAAAAUCACUGAAUUAUUUAAAAAAUCCCGCGCAAAUAAUUUUAAUUUAAAAAAAAAAUUUUUUAAAUAAUAUUUGUGUAUAAAAUUACCAAAAUCCCCUACUCCUUGUUUAAUUAAAAUAAAAAUCUUCCAAUUUUUUUACCUGAACAUCUUUAAAUUUCUUUUUAUUUUUAUUUUUGGGGUUAUCCCUGAUACUUCAAAUUGGCGACUAGAUUUCAAAUAACAAAUUUCUCUGAAUUUUCCCAAUUUUUUCAAAUUUUGAUCACAGUUUUCCUUGGCUCUUGGGCUUGGGUUUAGGCCUCCAAUUUGAAAGUUUUUCGAAAAAAAAAAUCGAUUCAAAUCAUACUUUACACCCGAAAUUACUUCCAUUUCAAACAAUCACCCAAGUUCACAUCGAAAACCCGAAAAACUCAAAAAUCGGGGGGAUUUGGUGACCGUUGAACGUCGACGCACUCUCCACCCAUCUUUUGAGUACUGUGAACCUGCGAUAAGCCGGAUCACAAAAAUGGAACAAUUUGCGGUUAUAAAAUGAGUGGGGGAUUGCGGUGGAAGUUCAUCCAUUGGUUGUGGCGAGUGCAAUCACUUUUUUGUCAUUGUUUUAUUCGGCGGGGGGAUUUAUUUGUACUCGCAAGUACCAGUUCCGAAACUGCCAAAUAUCAUAAUUCAGCACACCUAAAAAUUUAGUGUUCCGGAAUUCACUGUCAAAGUUUUGCUAAUCGCCCAAACUUUAAAAAAUUGGAAAAAACUUUUUCCCAGUUUUUUCCUUACUUUACUUCUCAUUUUUCUCGAUUCUAAAUUUUCUAAUUAGUUUUUCAACUUUCUUCAGAAAAUGGCCAGACUUCUCUCCACACUUCUUCUGGUCUCCUCAAUCUCCGUGGUCCAUGUGUCCGCUCAGGCCAACCGAGCAAAGGUUUGCGAGAAGGCCGUCAAUUUGGGUGUCACCUUCUACACGGCGUCGGAAUUGCAGCCGGUUGGUUUUUAAUGAAAAAAAAAAAGCUGGUAAUUUUUUGAUUUCGCUUUCAGAUUCUUGCCUGUAUCGAACCAACACUCUACAAUACACCCGAAGACACUACUGCUCUCAUUGAUAG